ACACACACACACACACACACACACACACACACACACACAUGACUGCAGCCACAUGUCUGCAGCCACAUGACUAUGUUUUAUGCACAAUGGGGCACUCCCUGCAUUUUCUAAUUCUUGGCAGGGGGAUGAACCACUAUGUGUUGGUGUAGCCAUGUGCUCAGACAUGCACUCUACAACCAUACAUCCAGACACGGUUCCUUUACCCCACCACUCACACACCAUCUAUAUUCUAUGUCCCUGGAUCACAGACGGUGUGCAGCUGUUGGUCUGGAACUCGCCGAUGGACGUCGAGCUGACUCAACGUGGCGGUGAGAGGACGGAGGAGCGCGUCGAGACUCUGCUGCUCGCUGCGGGACAAAGGUGCAGAAGAUCCUGAAAGGGAAACAUUUCAAAGCUGAAGCUCAACAACACUGUCAGUCCAAGGAGGUGGAGUAGCAGCCACCUCGUGAGACCAGGAAAGCUCAUCAAGACGGGGACCAGCAUUCUGAUGGAAUCGCAGACAGCCAUACCUGCUUGCAGUGGGAACUCAGAGGAAUGUGAUUCACUGUCAAACAUGCUUUUUUUGUAAAUGUUGUUUGAUUUGUAAGAGCUCCCAGACAAAUGCUAAUUUAGUUGUAUGUAUUUUUAAAAUUCAGUGACUUUUAUUUUUGACAUAUUUUGGCAUACUAUGACUUUUAUUUUUACAUAUUUUGGCAUACUAUGACUUUUAUUUUCACAUAAAUACAGGUCAUAGUAUAGUAUGCCAAAAUAUGUCAAAAAAUAAAAGUCAUAGUAUGCCAAAAUAUGUAAAGAUUAAAGGUCAUAGUAUAGUAUGUCAAAAUAAAGGUCAUAGUAUGCCAAAAUUAAAGGUCAAAAUAAAAGUCAAAGUAUAGUAUGCCAAAAUAUGUAACAAUUAAUGGUCAUAGUACAGUAUGUCAAAAUUAAAGUCAUAGUAUAGUAUGACAAAAUAUGUCAAAAAUAAAAGUCUUAGUAUAGCAGUGGUGUAUAAAGUACCCAAAAGUCAUACUUGAGUAAAAGUAAAGAUACUUGACUGGAAAAUUACUCAAGUAAAAGUCACCUAUGAGAAUACUACUUGAGUAAAAGUAUUAAAGUAUCUGAUUUUUUUUGUACUUAAGUAUCAAAAGUAAUUUUCUGAUAUUAAAUGUACUUAAGUAUUAAAAGUAAAAGUAAAUGCUGUUAAUAAAAAAAACAAGGUCAGAAUUUUGAGAAUUAUGAAGUUUAUUUGUUUGGGUGCUGUGGCCGCCAUGAACAAGGAGUAUGAGCUUGGAUGAACUUAGCAAUAUAUGAAUACUAUGAAAUUACUAAAAUAUAAAAACACGAUUAACACAGAAAAAAGCAGAACCAAAAGUAACAACCAGAAUCAUCACUUUAAAGUGCAAAAUGUAUUGUUCAUCUUCAAAAGAAGUUGAUUUUCAAAAUGGACAGAUUUCAGUGUCGCUCUUCUGGGGCUGAAGACGAGUCCUGCGAUGCUGAAGAGCCGUUCACAUGGUGCAGGUAGAGUGUGUCUAGCUUCACAGGCCCUGAUGGUGCAGGUAGAGUGUGUCUAGCUUCACAGGCCCAGGUGCA